GUGUUAAGAUUUUGGCAGCACAAGAACUAUAAUUGGAAUGAUAUAGAGAAGAUUAAACAUGGCCCCUUUGCAAGGAUGGCAUGCAGAUUCGAGAAUUGUUCAUUACUCAG